rnacentral:tRNA from 1 species
UCCGGGCGGACCGAACGUUUCAGCCGCGCCGGGAAAGUGCGCGACGUGGCCGUGGUCAAGGCUCGCCGCGCCGAGUCGGCGGCCCGGGA